CGGCACGUAGCUCAACUGGACAGAGCACCACGCUACGGACGUGAAGGUUGGAGGUUCGAAUCCUCCCGUGCCGG
rnacentral:tRNA from 1 species